rnacentral:lncRNA from 1 species
ACCAAGACAGAUGUACUGAUUCAGGGUUCAAAACCUUGACGAACAAGAAGAAGCCCAUCUUUCUAAAGCAAUUUAAGCAGCUCUCUGCUCUUUCAUGGUGCAAGGGGCAAGAUACUUCUUUGAACACUUUGCUGAUUGAUAAUGACCCCUACAAGUCUCUUCUAAAUCCUGUAAUAAAACUAACCAUCACCUUUUACUUAAAUUAAAACAGUUUGUUAAUUUGUUGACUUAGAUGAUUCUGUCCUGCUUGUCCAUUUUUGUAGUCCCACACCGCGAUUUUUCCUGACGAAUACACGGUGGACUGUGCUACUGAUUCUGCUUUAGGUAAUUAAGUCCUGCUGCGUACCAUCUGUUCUUAUAGGAUUGAUUAAUAUAUAUUAUUAACCAUGCUAAUUAUAUAGUUACUGAUUUAAUUUGGAUUAGGUCCUGAGGGUGAUCUUCGGGUCUACCUGGAAGGCCUGGCUGAUGCUAAAGAUGUUCCAUCCUAUGUGAAGGACCAUCCUUUUGGGAAGCCUGCAAUCACUCCCUUGCACCCUGACUGGGAUUUUUACUCCAAGAUUGUUCGACUUCAUAGCAAGGAACCGAUCGUGAAGUAGCAAGGAUAAUUUUCAAAAAAUAACAAUGGAGAUGUUUUUAUAUUGUACAUAUGCUGUUUGCUUAUUUUUAUGUUGUUUGGUGUGUUGAACAAACCUACAGUAAUUCUGUUGCCUUAAUCCAUAUGUUUCAUAUUUUGUUAAAGAUCAUGUUUAAUUAAUUAUAGAAUUUGGCAGAUCUCCUGUUCGAUGUUUAAAUUUUCUUGAUCCACUUGUAAAUCCUAGCAGUAGCAGUUUUUUUCUUAAAAACUUAUGCUAAACAACAUGCAUUAAGGACUUUGUUCAGAGAUAUCCGACAACGUUUUGGGUUUUUUCCGGUAAUUUGAAGGAAAUACUACUAAACAAAAAAGGGUAAAAACGAAGAUGAAUUUAGUUUUAAUUAUUUUUCCUUUAAAAGCAUUAAAAUAUAUGACAAGAAUUCUUUCAUUAAGUUUUAGUUCCCGUAUGUUUGCUUUUCUGGAAAAUAAUUUUAUUUUGAAAAGUAAUUUUCUUGAAAAAUAAAUGUAUAAAAAGUGAAUUAUUUUCUGAUAUUUGGUGGAGUCAUGGAAAAUAAAUUAAAAAACAUUUUUCAGUAUUUGGCUAUCUCAUAAAAAAUAAGUUGGAAAAUAAAUUAAUAAUUUUUUUUUCAAGUUUAUUAAAAUAAUGAGAAACAAAUCUUGCAAAUUAAAAGGUUGAAUUAGAAUGAAACUGAAAAAAAAUAAUCUAAUUUCAUAAAUUAUUUUAAAUAAAAUAAAUAACAAUCAAAAUAAUAAAGAUCAAAUCUAAUAAAAAAAAAUGAAAGAUGAUGAAAUUAAAAUAAUAAUAAUUAUAAUUUUAUAAAUUGUUUCAAAUAAAAUAAGUAACAAUAAAAAGAAUAAGAAUCAAAUUUAAUAGAUAAAAAUUUCAAUUAAAAAAUAAUAAGAGAGAAGCAAAUAACAAUCAUAAAAAUGAGGACCAUAAUUAAUAUGAAAAUCAAAAUUUAAGGGGUAAAUUAAAAAAAAAAGAUUCAAAAUAAAAUAUAUUUCAAUCAAAAGUUUGAUGAUCAAAUUUGUUAUAAUUAGUAAAUAAUAUGAUAUUUCUAAAUUUUUCAUAACUUUUAAAAAGUGUUUUCCGUCUAAAAUAAAAAAAAAUACUUUCCUAAAAAACUAAAUUAAAAUUUUUUUAACUAGAAAGUAUUUUUUGUUGAUUAAUUUUUUUAAUAAUAAAUAAAUAUAUAAAAAAUUAAUUUUCAUCAAACAAAAACAAACAAGACGGGGUGAGCUUGAUGGUGUCCAAUUGAAAACUUAUUCUGUCAGAGAACCUUGAGGAGAAUCUAUGUCCUUUGCCCUUGUCUACAUAAGUGAGACACCAAAUGAUUAAAUUCGAUAACAAUAAGAAAAGCCUAAUAAUUAUUAAAUUAUCACACUGUUUCUUUAAAAAGAAAAACUAAAUAACCAAUCAGAUAAAAUUUCCAAUGGAUUGCUUUGAUCAAACCCCUUCUGCUUUUACAAGUAAAGGAAAUAAAUCUCUGCUUCUUAAUUAAGUUUUGAGAACCUUCACACUUGCUUUUCCAAGAGAGAGAUAGAAAGGAAAGAGAUAUAAAAGAAACAUAUUUUUAUUAUAGAUAUAAAUAUUCUUUUUAUUUUUUAAGGGUCAUCAAAUUAUUUUUUUCUUUCAUUACCCAUCUUUAUAUAUAUAUAUAUAUAUAUAUAUAUAUAUAUAUAUAUAUAUAUAUAUUAAGAAAGUAACCACUCACUCGUAUUUAAUUACUUUCUGCCAACUAUAAUUUUUAUUUUUUGUUAAUUUAUCAAGACAACUAUAAUAAAAAAGCAUGCAUGCAAUUAGGUAACAUAUAAAAAAUGUAUUUCAUUAUUCCAGAUAUAUUUUGAAUCCGCUUGGGGACACGAACUUUCAUGGCUUAAGCAAUUGAGUGUUCUCUAGCCUCGUGUGGUUUGACACUCUGUGAACAGGAAGUAGUAGCACUUCAAAGACAGACAGACAGACAGAUAUGUAUUGGAAACUAGCACGAUUAAUUUUGAGGUUAAAAUUAAACUUGUUAAGAAUCAUUAAUCAUGGAUUCAUCGAAAUAUAUAUUGGAAACAUCGAAAUUAAUAUUCUCUCCCAAAAAUAAUAAUACAAAAAAUCAACAUUCCCAUGCUUUGAAUUUAGACUUGGGAAUCAAGUAAUCUUUAUUAAAAAUGAAAAUCCCAACAGUGUAAUAAAAGCCCGUUACUAUUUAUUAAAAGUGUUUUUGUUAUUGUGGUAGCGGUUGCUUUUUAAAUAGUUUUUCGUACUGAAAUACAUGUCAAUGAUAUUUUUUUUAUUUUUUAAAAAUUAUUUUUAACAUCAGCACAUCAAAACAAUUCAAAAAUUACAAACCAAACUCAAUUUUAACAAAAAAAAAUAAUUCAAAAUUUCAUCAAACACAUGUUCAAUCUCACUGCCAACUAUUUAUUAAAUGUUAGCCAGGGAGUGUUUUCAAAAGUUGCAACCAAAUUCAACACUAUAUAUAUAUAUAGAUACCCAACCACGAGUAUCCCACCACUACAACAUAUCUUAAUCCUAAUCUCAAUCUUGUACAUCAUCAAAACUCACCACAUUAAGGUUAAGAUGGCUGAAGGAAAGAGCACAGACAGUAGCCUGAAGCUCAAGUCAGUAAUCCACGAUGAUGACAGUAAGGACAACGAAGAAGACAAGGGAGAUUUGCCUGAUGAUAUUCUUUCACUGGAAAAACUAAGCCUUAAAGUUCCGGAAAAGAAACUCCUCAUCCUUUGCCUUGGCGGGCUGCUAUGUCACAGGGUCUGCGUUAAACGCGGUCGCAACGUGAAGACAAACCGCCGUCCUGAUGCUGCGUAUGGAAACUUUGAAGGUAAAGUUGUGAUCAAUCUGCAGUGUUUUUUCUUUUUUGUUCUUACGAGGUAUAUUCUCUUCUGAUCAGUUUACAAGAGGCCAUUCUGCGAUGAUUUUGUGAAAUUCUGCUUCGAAAGAUUCGAGGUUGGAAUCUGGUCUUCUGCUAGAGAGUGAGUAAAAACCUAUCUAUUUUUCAGUAACCAUUUAUGUUAAAUGAUGUCCUGUCCUAACCAUGUUUUUUCCUGCUGUCUGAAACAGACGGUACAUGAAUGAUGCUCUUGAUGGUGUUAUGAAAGGUUUCAGGUUCAAGCUGUUAUUUUCUUGGGUAAGUAUAUGGGUUACCUGUCUUGCUUUAUCUUACAAUCUCUUUUCAGGGAUCGUUCCUGUCUUAUUAAUGAUAUCCUUUUCCAGGACCAAGACAGAUGUACUGAUUCAGGGUUCAAAACCUUGAAGGACAAGAAGAAGCCCAUCUUUCUCAAGCAAUUUACGCAGCUCUCUGCUCUUUCAUGGUGCAAGGGGCAAGAUACUUCUUUGAACACUUUGCUGAUUGAUAAUGACCCCUACAAGUCUCUUCUAAAUCCUGUAAUAAAACUAACCAUCACCUUUUACUUAAAUUAAAACAGUUUGUUAAUUUGUUGACUUCGAUGAUUCUGUCCUGCUUGUCCAUUUUUGUACGUAGUCCCACACCGCGAUUUUUCC